rnacentral:rRNA from 1 species
CACGUAGGCGGAUAUUUAGGUCAGGGGUGAAACUCCCAGAGCUCAACUCUGGAACUGCCUUUGAUACUGGGUAUCUUGAGUAUGGAAGAGGUAAGUGGAAUUCCGAGUGUAGAGGUGAAAUUCGUAGAUAUUCGGAGGAACACCAGUGGCGAAGGCGGCUUACUGGUCCAUUACUGACGCUGAGGUGCGAAAGCGGUGGGGAGCAAACA